GAUGAACGCUGGCGGCGUGCCUAACACAUGCAAGUCGAGCGAUCUUCUUCGGAAGAGAGCGGCGGACGGGUGAGUAACGCGUGGGUAACCUGCCCUGUACACACGGAUAACAUACCGAAAGGUAUGCUAAUACGAGAUAAUAUGCUUUUAUCGCAUGGUAGAAGUAUCAAAGCUCCGGCGGUACAGGAUGGACCCGCGUCUGAUUAGCUAGUUGGUAAGGUAACGGCUUACCAAGGCGACGAUCAGUAGCCGACCUGAGAGGGUGAUCGGCCACAUUGGAACUGAGACACGGUCCAAACUCCUACGGGAGGCAGCAGUGGGGAAUAUUGCACAAUGGGCGAAAGCCUGAUGCAGCAACGCCGCGUGAGCGAUGAAGGCCUUGGUCGUAAAGCUCUGUCCUCAAGGAAGAUAAUGACGGUACUUGAGGAGGAAGCCCCGGCUAACUACGUGCCAGCAGCCGCGGUAAU
rnacentral:rRNA from 1 species